GAUGAACGCUAGCGGCAGGCUUAAUACAUGCAAGUCGAGGGGUAGCAAGAUUGUAGCAAUACAAUUGUUGACGACCGGCAAACGGGUGCGGAACACGUACACAACCUUCCUACAAGUGGGGAAUAGCCCAGAGAAAUUUGGAUUAAUACCCCGUAACAUAGCGAUGUGGCAUCACAUUGCCAUUAUAGCUUCGGCGCUUGUUGAUGGGUGUGCGGCUGAUUAGAUAGUUGGCGGGGUAACGGCCCACCAAGUCUACGAUCAGUAGCUGAUGUGAGAGCAUGAUCAGCCACACGGGCACUGAGACACGGGCCCGACUCCUACGGGAGGCAGCAGUAAGGAAUAUUGGACAAUGGACGCAAGUCUGAUCCAGCCAUGCCGCGUGAAGGAUUAAGGUCCUCUGGAUUGUAAACUUCUUUUAUAAGGGACGAAAAAAGGUCUUUCUAGAUCGUCUGACGGUACCUUAUGAAUAAGCACCGGCUAACUCCGUGCCAGCAGCCGCGGUAA
rnacentral:rRNA from 1 species